rnacentral:tRNA from 2 species
GCGGGUAUGGCGGAAUCGGUAGACGCUGCAGACUUAAAAUCUGUUUCCUGUAUAGGAGUGGGGGUUCAAGUCCCCCUACCCGCACCA